GGAUCAAAUACAACUAUCCAAUCAAGGAGAAAUUUGACAGAACCAGAGUUUCAGCCGAGCGAUUUAUACAAGUGGAUUACUUCUAAUAACAAAGAGGCUAACCAUUCUGCAACCACCGCCCUAGAGCCAGUGGGCAGCCGAGCGACGACCCUGUCACAGUAGUCAAGUGCCCCCUGUAGCUGUCGUCGUCCCCAGGGGCCCGCGAGAUGGAUGGAGGCGGUGGGAAUGCGAAAUGAAUAACAGACGCCCGGUGAUGGUGAGAAUACAGAUGCUGGACUGAUGAACGUGCCAACUCCACUGAUACCUCACCAUAUUAUUUGUUUUACAUAGAGCAAUCCAAUAUUUUUUAUACACUUAUGAAGUGUUUUAUCAAUAAACAUAAUAAAUAAUAAGUGUAUUUGAACAAACGAAAUUAACACUUGAAAAGUAAUGUUGUCUGUUUAUGUAAAGAGUUUGUCACAUUUUAUACUCUGAAAUUGUUUUAUAUAAUUUCAUUAUAAUUCUCAUAAUGUGCAAUAGAUUGCAUAAAAUUGUUAUUAAAAACUCUAUUUACUAAA
rnacentral:lncRNA from 1 species